GGCGAUGUGGUGUAGUGGUAACAGGACAGGCAUUCGUAUUUUACAAAGCCAGAGACCCUGGUUCGAUUCCGGGCAUCUGCCC